AUCUUGUUCUUUUAUCUCACUGUAUUCGUUUUCUUUAAAAUAUUUUUAUCAUCCUCAGUCCUAAAUGGUGAUAUAACUGAAUAUCUUUGGCCUGUAGUACAAAGAUGAAUGAUUACCUGAUGAAUAUCUUUGGCCCAUAGUGAAAAGUUGGACAGGUGUUGAGAUGAACAUGACCAACUGGUGAUACAAAUGAAUUUCU
rnacentral:lncRNA from 1 species